rnacentral:rRNA from 1 species
GACGAACGCUGGCGGCGGGCUUAACACAUGCAAGUCGAACGGAAAGGCCCUGCGUUUGUGGGGUGCUCGAGUGGCGAACGGGGGAGUAACACGUGAGUAACCUGCCCUUGACUUUGGGAUAACUUCAGGAAACUGGGGCUAAUACCGGAUAGGAGCUCCUGCUGCAUGGUGGGGGGGGGAAAGUUUCGGCGGGUGGGGAUGGACGCGCGGCUUAUCAGCUUGUUAGUGGGGGAGUGGCUUACCAAGGCUUUGACGGGUAGCCGGCCUGGGAGGGUGACCGGCCACAUUGGGCCUGCGAUACGGCCCAGACUCCUACGGGAGGCAGCAGUGGGGAAUAUUGCCCAAUGGGCGGAAGCCUGAUGCAGCAACGCCGCGUGCGGGAUGCCGGCCUUCUGGUUGUAAACCGCUUUCGCCUGUGACGAAGCGUGAGUGACGGUAAUGGGUAAAGAAGCACCGGCUAACUACGUG